rnacentral:rRNA from 1 species
UACGAAGGGGGCUAGCGUUGCCCGGAAUUACUGGGCGUAAAGGGCGCGUAGGCGGACAGUUUAGUCAGAGGUAAAAGCCCAGGGCUCAACCUUGGAACUGCCUUUGAUACUGACUGUCUUGAGUUCGGGAGAGGUGAGUGGAAUGCCGAGUGUAGAGGUGAAAUUCGUAGAUAUUCGGCGGAACACCAGUGGCGAAGGCGACUCACUGGCCCGAUACUGACGCUGAGGCGCGAAAGCGUGGGGAGCAAACAGG